AUUGAACGCUGGCGGCAUGCUUUACACAUGCAAGUCGAACGGUAACAGGCCGCAAGGUGCUGACGAGUGGCGAACGGGUGAGUAAUGCACCGGAACGUGCCCAGCCGUGGGGGAUAACUACUCGAAAGAGUAGCUAAUACCGCAUACGAUCUAUGGAUGAAAGCGGGGGACCGUAAGGCCUCGCGCGAUUGGAGCGGCCGAUGUCAGAUUAGGUAGUUGGUGGGGUAAAGGCUCACCAAGCCAACGAUCUGUAGCUGGUCUGAGAGGACGACCAGCCACACUGGGACUGGGACACGGCCCAGACUCCUACGGGAGGCAGCAGUGGGGAAUUUUGGACAAUGGGCGCAAGCCUGAUCCAGCAAUGCCGCGUGCAGGAAGAAGGCCUUCGGGUUGUAAACUGCUUUUGUACGGAACGAAACGGCUCUGGUUAAUACCCGGGGCUAAUGACGGUACCGUAAGAAUAAGCACCGGCUAACUACGUG
rnacentral:rRNA from 1 species